GACGAACGCUGGCGGCGUGCUUAACGCAUGCAAGUCGAACGGAAAGGCCCUGCUUGCAGGGUACUCGAGUGGCGAACAGGUGAGUAACACGUGGGUGAUCUGCCCUGCACUUCGGGAUAAGCCUGGGAAACUGGGUCUAAUACCGGAUAGGCGCCAUUUUUAGUGUGAUGGUUGGAAAGUUUUUUCGGUGUAGGAUGAGCUCGCGGCCUAUCAGCUUGUUGGUGGGGUAAUGGCCUACCAAGGCGGCGACGGGUAGCCGGCCUGAGAGGGUGGACGGCCACAUUGGGACUGAGAUACGGCCCAGACUCCUACGGGAGGCAGCAGUGGGGAAUAUUGCACAAUGGGCGCAAGCCUGAUGCAGCGACGCCGCGUGGGGGAUGACGGCCUUCGGGUUGUAAACUCCUUUCGCUAGGGACGAAGCUUUUUGUGACGGUACCUAGAUAAGAAGCACCGGCUAACUACGUG
rnacentral:rRNA from 1 species